rnacentral:misc_RNA from 1 species
GAUGAAGAACGCAGCGAAACGCGAUACGUAAUGUGAAUUGCAGAAUUCAGUGAAUCAUCGAAUCUUUGAACGCACAUUGCGCCCUUUGGUAUUCCAAAGGGCAUGCCUGUUCGAGCGUCAUUUGUACCCUCAAGCUUUGCUUGGUGUUGGGCGUCUUGUCUCUAGCUUUGCUGGAGACUCGCCUUAAAGUAAUUGGCAGCCGGCCUACUGGUUUCGGAGCGCAGCACAAGUCGCACUCUCUAUCAGCAAAGGUCUAGCAUCCAUUAAGCCUUUUUUUCAACUUUUGACCUCGGAUCAGGUAGGGAUACCCGCUGAACUUAAGCAUAUCAAUAAGCGGAGGA